rnacentral:rRNA from 1 species
AUUGAACGCUGGCGGCAGGCCUAACACAUGCAAGUCGAACGAGUGGCGGACGGGUGAGUAAUGUCUGGGAAACUGCCUGAUGGAGGGGGAUAACUCCUGAAAACGUUGGCUAAUACCGCUAACAAUGGGAUGGGCCCAGAGGGGAUUAGCUUGUGGGUGGGGUAACGGCGCACCAAGGCGACGAUCCCUAGCUGGUCUGAGAGGAUGACCAGCCACACUGGAACUGAGACACGGUCCAGACUCCUACGGGAGGCAGCAGUGGGGAAUAUUGCACAAUGGGCGCAAGCCUGAUGCAGCCAUGCCGCGUGUGUGAAGAAGGCCUUCGGGUUGUAAAGCACUUUCAGCGGGGAGGCGUUACCCGCAGAAGAAGCACCGGCUAACUCCGUGCCAGCAGCCGCGGUAAUUC